GGGGAUAUAGCUGAACAGUAGAGCACUUGCCUAGCAAGUAUGAGGCCCUGGGUUCAAUUCCAAGUACCACAA
rnacentral:tRNA from 1 species